CACUUAAUAACUAGCCCACUAAACUAAACCCAACACCAAAACAUAAUUACCCUUAAAAAAAUUAGCCACCCAAAACAAACCAUUUUACCCCCAUAGUAUAGGUGAUAGAAACGGACUUAUGGAGCAAUAGAAAAUGUACCGCAAGGGAAUGUUGAAAGAGAAAUGAAAAAAAUUAGUUAAGUCUAAAAAAGUAGAGACACCCCCUCGUACCUUUUGCAUCAUGAUUUAGCUAGUAAACCUUAAGCAAAAAGAGUUUUAGUUUAAUUUCCCGAAACUAAGUGAGCUACUCCAAGAUAGUCUAAUAUAUAGGACAACCCCGUCUCUGUGGCAAAAGAGUGGAAAAAGCUUUGAGUAGAGGUGAUAAACCUACCGAACUUAGUGAUAGCUGGUUGCCUGCAAAUUGAAUAGAAGUUCAGCCUUUUAAAUUCUUUCUCCAUAAGAAAAUAUUUAUCUCAGGUAAAAAGAAGUUAAAAGAGUUAGUCAAGGAGGGUACAGCCCCUUUGAAACAGGUACAACUUUAACAGGCGGGUAAAGAUCAUAUUUAAUAAGGCAAUUUAUCCUAGUGGGCCUAAAAGCAGCCACCUAAUUAGAAAGCGUUAAAGCUCAAAAACAACCCCCGCCUCCAAUACUGAUUACAUCUCUUAACCCCCUAAUAAUAUCAGGCCACUCCAUGCAAGCAUGGAAGAAAUACUGCUAAAAUGAGUAAUAAGGGAAUUUCUCCCUCAUUCGCACGUGUGUAUCUCGGAACGGACUAUCCACCGAAUAUUAACGGACCCAAACAAAGAGGGAAGUGAGUCACAAAUAAACAACAAGAAAAAACCCCAACAUACACCGUUAACCCUACACUGGCGUGCACACAAUGAAAGACUAAAAGAGAAAAAAGGAACUCGGCAAACACCAAGCCUCGCCUGUUUACCAAAAACAUCGCCUUUUGAUAAAAAUAAAAGGUCCCGCCUGCCCAGUGACCACUGGUUCAACGGCCGCGGUAUUCUGACCGUGCAAAGGUAGCAGCAAUCACUUGUCUUUUAAAUGAAGACCGGUGUGAAUGGCAUAACGAGGGCUUAACUGUCUCCUUUCUCUAGUCAAUGAAAUUAAUCUCCCCGUGCAGAAGCGGGGAUACCCACAUAAGACGAGAAGACCCUGUGGAGCUUUAGACACAAGAGCAGCCCAUGUCACUUAAACUUAAUAACAAGAGAUAAACCUAAUGACCCCUGCUUCCAUGUCUUUGGUUGGGGUGACCACGGGGAAACAAAAAACCCCCGAGCGGAUAGAGAAAACACACCUCCCACAACAAAGAGCCUCAGCUCUAAACAACAGAACUUCUGACCACCAAGAUUCCGGCAAAGCCGAUCAACGAACCGAGUUACCCCAGGGAUAACAGCGCAAUCCUCUUACAGAGCCCAUAUCGACAAGAGGGUUUACGACCUCGAUGUUGGAUCAGGACAUCCUAAUGGUGCAGCCGCUAUUAAGGGUUCGUUUGUUCAACGAUUAAUAGUCCU
rnacentral:rRNA from 1 species